AUUGAACGCUGGCGGCUGGCCUAACACAUGCAAGUCGAGCGGAUGAAGGGUGCUUGCUCCUGGAUUCAGCGGCGGACGGGUGAGUAAUGCCUAGGAAUCUGCCUGGCAGCGGGGGAUAACGUCCGGAAACGGGCGCUAAUACCGCAUACGCCCUGAGGGAGAAAGUGGGGGAUCUUCGGACCUCACGCUAUCAGAUGAGCCUAGGUCGGAUUAGCUAGUUGGUGGGGUAAAGGCCUACCAAGGCGACGAUCCGUAACUGGUCUGAGAGGAUGAUCAGUCACACUGGAACUGAGACACGGUCCAGACUCCUACGGGAGGCAGCAGUGGGGAAUAUUGGACAAUGGGCGAAAGCCUGAUCCAGCCAUGCCGCGUGUGUGGAGAAGGUCUUCGGAUUGUAAAGCACUUUAAGUUGGGAGGAAGGGCAGUAAGUUAAUACCUUGCUGUUUUGACGUUACCCACAGAAUAAGCACCGGCUAACUUCGUG
rnacentral:rRNA from 1 species